rnacentral:rRNA from 1 species
AGAGUUUGAUCCUGGCUCAGGAUGAACGCUGGCGGCGUGCCUAAUACAUGCAAGUCGAACGCACUAGUUUACUAGUGAGUGGCGAACGGGUGAGUAACACGUAGGUAACCUGCCCUUAAGACGAGGAUAACCAUUGGAAACGAUGGCUAAGACUGGAUAGGAAUAUUUGAGGCAUCUUAAAUAUUUUAAAAGACCUAGCAAUAGGUAUGCUUAAGGAGGGGCCUGCGGCGCAUUAGUUAGUUGGUGAGGUGAGAGCUCACCAAGACGAUGAUGCGUAGCCGGACUGAGAGGUUGAACGGCCACAUUGGGACUGAGAAACGGCCCAAACUCCUACGGGAGGCAGCAGUAGGGAAUUUUCGGCAAUGGAGGAAACUCUGACCGAGCAACGCCGCGUGAAUGACGAAGUACUUCGGUAUGUAAAGUUCUUUUAUCAGGGAAGAAUGGGCAGUGGAAAAACUGUUUUGACGGUACCUGAUGAAUAAGCCCCGGCUAACUAUGUGCCAGCAGCCGCGGUAAUACAUAGGGGGCAAGCGUUAUCCGGAAUUAUUGGGCGUAAAGGGUGCGUAGGCGGUUAUUUAAGUCUUUGGUGUAAGUGCAAGGCUCAACCUUGUGAUGCUAAGGAAACUGGAUAACUUGAGUGUGAUAGAGGUAAGUGGAAUUCCAUGUGUAGCGGUAAAAUGCGUAAAUAUAUGGAGGAACACCAGUGGCGAAGGCGGCUUACUGGGUCACAACUGACGCUGAGGCACGAAAGCGUGGGGAGCAAACAGGAUUAGAUACCCUGGUAGUCCACGCCGUAAACGAUGAGUACUAAGUGUUGGAGAAAUUCAGUGCUGUAGUUAACGCAAUAAGUACUCCGCCUGAG